GAUGAACGCUGGCGGCGUGCCUAACACAUGCAAGUCGAACGGGAACUCUGGGGAUGAAGGUUCGCUGGAUUCCCAGAAAUUCUAGUGGCGGACGGGUGAGUAACGCGUGGGUAACCUGCCCUUAAGAGGGGAAUAACAGUGAGAAAUUACUGCUAAUACAUCAUAUGCUUACAGUAUCGCAUGAUACAGUGAGGAAAGGAAUUUCGCUUAAGGAUGGACCCGCGUUUGAUUAGCCAGUUGGCAGGGUAACGGCCUACCAAAGCAACGAUCAAUAGCCGGCCUGAGAGGGUGAACGGCCACAUUGGGACUGAGACACGGCCCAAACUCC
rnacentral:rRNA from 1 species